GGGAAGGUGGCUCAGUGGUAGAGUGCUUGCCUUGCAUGCCUGAGGCCCUGGGUUCAAUUCCUCAGCACCCA
rnacentral:tRNA from 1 species